GCUGUAGCCUAGUGGUAUAGGAUCAGCUUUGAAUGCAGAGGGCCUCAGGUUCAAUUCCAAGCAUCUCCA